GCCCACCGCUGCCCCCCAGGACAACAGCCUCUCGCUCAGAGAGAGAAGCCUCCCCCUCAGAAUCAUGUUUCGGCAUCUUCGUUUUGAAAUAUCCUUCAGAUGCUGUCACUUCGGUCCCUUGCGGUCCCCAGCUGCCAGGUGAUUGUGUGCCGUGGAGGCUGCUGGGAGGCUCUGCGGAGCUGGUGACGACACGGAGAACACGGCCGUGACAUUUGGAGCCACACACCGAGAGACCCUCUCCCCAGCAUCGACCACGGGGAUGGCUAUGCCAACUGGAGCAGGGAAUGGUGAGGGUGCCAGGAAGAAGCGUGGACGCCGGACGGUACAACACGGAGCACGGAGAGCAAACAGAGAAGAAAGUGGACGCUGCCCUUGGUGCGUCGGAUUCUCUCCCAAACGUGCAGGAAACAGGAGGGGCUGGGAAGCAGCAGGGAAACGUUUCCUGGCACGGGCUGGGGAGUUUGCAGACAAACACGAGGCCAGCUUCCAAGAAUUAUCAGUUGGAUUAAUUAAUCCCUAAGAACCUAAUUACCAUGAAUCUUAUUCCUGGGCACAAGGUAUCUGAGCUGAGAUUUGUGUGUCUGCAAAGAAACCAACAUUAAGGGGGAGGCUUCGGGGAUAAUUAGGAUCCCAAACUGGGGAAAUGUCAGUGGGGGUUCCGUUAUCGAUGCCCGAAAGCCUCACCCGCCCCAGGGCUGAGAUCGUGGCUGUAGAAAAGGCUCAGGCCGGGAAGAAUGAGCAGGUCCAGGAUCACCGUGGGAUUUGGCUGGGAAGUGUGUAAAAUAUAACUUGCUGCAAAGCAGAGCACGGAAGUGUCAUUUUAUACGCUUCCACGUGGAAACAGAGGAGCACCAGGGCCCUUACAGCCCACCGCCAAGGACACGCUGGAGAAACAGGAUUUACACAUUUGACUUGACCGUGUGAGAUGACGCAACCAGCCUCACUCCUGCCUUUGAUGGUUUUCCCAUACGCAUCAUGCUAUUUUUCACCUCUGUCUGCCCGUGGAGUGACGGUACAAAUUCUGAAUUGCAAUGGAGAAAAGCAGUGUACUUAAGUCUUCAAAUCUUACCCUGUUGCCCUAAUGGCUCCAUCGUCAUGUGGGAAACAUCCCCUGCCUCCCUCCCAGACAGUUUCCCUGGUGCCCGGGCUGAGUUAUAGUAGCAAUCUGGACCGACUGUUGUGUUUGUACACAAUGCCAGGUGCUGGGCUAAGAUUAUCACAUUCAUCCUCACAACCUUUCUAUAAUAGAGGUAUUGUUAAUUUCACCUGAUGGAGGAAGGACCGGCGCACAGAUACUAAGUGAGGUAGAAAUAAUAAAUGAUCUCUGCUCAGAGAUUUAAACGUAGAUGUAUCAGACCCAAGCCAGACCCACAGCACCUGGCUAAAUUGUUUCCUCACUGAGUUGUACCCUAUUUUUAUAUGAGUGGUCGUUACUACAUUGUGAGUGUCCUGGGACCAGGGCAUCUGCUGUGUUUACUCUUAACUCCAGUACCUAGCAGAGUGACUAUCCCACAAUAAAUGCCUAAUAAAUGUAUGCUAAGCUAAUGAAGCAGCAUAAACCGGCGAUGAUGAUGAGUGGAGACUAAGUUUCACAGCCCUGGAUGGAAACAGGACACUCUGAGACCACACAAUGAUGCGGAACUCUCCUCUGCAGUUCUACAGAAGCUACAAAAACACAAGGGCAUGACUGAAAAGGCCCGUUAAUGGGGCAGACAAUCAUGUAGAGGUUAGAAGAGGACGACAAUGGAGGGCUGGAAAAUAAAGGUUAUUCAAGAUGGACAAACUUUUGAAGUGUGAACACUUCAAACGUGUAAAAAUAAUGGGAGGAGAAAGGCACCAAAGUCUAGAGAACAGACUGAAACACCUGGCAUAUUGUAAGGGCCACAGAUUCAUCAAUGAGCCUGAAGCAGAGGUUCGGUGGAAGGAAGAGUGAGGAAAGGAAGAUAAAAAUAAGUGCUGGUGCCAUGUUGUAAAUGGUCCUAAAUCUGUUGACGUUAAACCUGAUGCUCAAAGGGGAUCAAGUGGACUGCAGCACGUUGGAUAGAUUGAAUUAAGAAGUAAGGGGAGAGGGGUGGGCGUGGGCAGGGAGGAGAGCUGGAGGAAUAAGGAUGAGGUGGGGCUAGUUAAAGGGUCCCUGCGAUGACCCUGGUAGCAGGGUAAGUGUUGGAGUGAUGGGAGGGGCCGAAAUUACAGAAGGAAGAGAGAACAUGAAGAAUUCUCUAGAUAUAGAGAGCAGGAGUGCAGGGAAAAGCUGAACAGUUGAUCUCCCAUGAAGGAAAAUCCUGGUCAUACGUGAAAUCCUAACACUGAGAGAGGAAACGACUACACAAUUGGCAGAUGGGGGCUGGUAGGAGCACCUGAGUUUGACUUCAGACACAUGAUGUAAGGAGGGGGUGAGGGUCUUGCCAUUAGCCUUGUAGGGCUGAGCUGGUUCCCACUGGGGUCAGGAAUGUGCUGGAACCUGUGAUCCUGUGGGUCAAGGAUAAACUACCCUACUGCCCAAAGAUGUGCCACUACACAAGGCAGGUGUUCAAAAAAAUAUUUACAGAAUGAUUACAUCAAUGCAAUUAUUUCCAAAUUUGAAGUGUUUCAGUGUAUUCGGUCUGAAUAAACAACAUUGGUUGGGACUGGAGGGUUUCCUCCUUUUAUAUAGUUAUAGAAAUAAACACCAUAAGCACCAGUCAUUGUAAUUUCUAAUACACGAUUUCCAAACGGUGAUGGUUAUCUCGAUGUGAGGUUAACACCUUCCACUUUCACGUUCUUCCAUUCAGAGGCUCAGGGGUUAGCGCCAGGCCUGGCACAUGGAAGGGUCAGACCCUUGCUGCUGUGUAAUCACCUCACGUGGGGAAGUCCUUCUGGAACUUUCCUUUCCACGCAAGGCAGUUUUCCACAAGGUAAGAGGGAAAAACAACUAGGAGGCCAUUAAAAAAUCUAUUUUACAAC